GUGGGGAAUAUUGGACAAUGGGCGCAAGCCUGAUCCAGCAAUGCCGCGUGCAGGAAGAAGGCCUUCGGGUUGUAAACUGCUUUUGUACGGAACGAAACGGUCCGGGUUAAUACCCUGGGCUAAUGACGGUACCGUAAGAAUAAGCACCGGCUAACUACGUGCCAGCAGCCGCGGUAAUACGUAGGGUGCAAGCGUUAAUCGGAAUUACUGGGCGUAAAGCGUGCGCAGGCGGUUUUGUAAGACAGGCGUGAAAUCCCCGGGCUCAACCUGGGAAUUGCGCUUGUGACUGCAAGGCUGGAGUGCGGCAGAGGGGGAUGGAAUUCCGCGUGUAGCAGUGAAAUGCGUAGAUAUGCGGAGGAACACCGAUGGCGAAGGCAAUCCCCUGGGCCUGCACUGACGCUCAUGCACGAAAGCGUGGGGAGCAAACAGGAUUAGAUACCCGGGUAGUCC
rnacentral:rRNA from 1 species